GAUGAACGCUAGCUACAGGCUUAACACAUGCAAGUCGAGGGGCAGCACAGUGUAGCAAUACAUGGGUGGCGACCGGCGCACGGGUGCGUAACGCGUAUCCAACCUUCCCGUUACUCUUGGAUAGCCUUCCGAAAAGGGAGAUUAAUACAAGAUGGUAUUCAAAUUCCGCAUGUUAUUUGAAUUAAAGAUUUAUCGGUAACGGAUGGGGAUGCGUGACAUUAGAUAGUAGGCGGGUAACGGCCCACCUAGUCUACGAUGUCUAGGGGUUCUGAGAGGAAGGUCCCCCACACUGGAACUGAGACACGGUCCAGACUCCUACGGGAGGCAGCAGUGAGGAAUAUGGUCAAUGGAGGCAAACUCUGAAACCCAGCCAAGUAGCGUGAGGGACGAC
rnacentral:rRNA from 1 species